UCGAAUAAAAAAACCUCCAUUUUAGAUUUAACACUUCUAUUAAACACACUCAAGACCUGAAGUUUGGAUCUGUUUAAUUUAAAAUUUAAUUGUGAUAAAUAAAAUUUUUAACAUCAGAAUUUAGUUUUUCACGUCUUAAAUACUCGUUACAAUAAGUACACACAAUGUCGCGUUAUCGCGAGUGGGAUUUAUCAUGCAAAGUGUACGUCGGUGAUUUAGGCAGCAGUGCUAGCAAGCAUGAGAUUGAGAAUGCAUUCAGUAAAUACGGACCCCUUAGGAAUGUUUGGGUGGCUAGGAAUCCACCGGGCUUCGCUUUUGUUGAGUUCGAGGACCCUAGAGAUGCUGAAGAUGCUGUUCGAGGCCUUCAUGGAACGAGAUGCUGUGGCACAAGAGUAAGAGUCGAAAUGUCAUCAGGAAGAAGUCGCCGUGGAGGCGGAGGAGGUCGUAGACCGGGUCCACGUUACUCUAGGUCGCGAUCCCGCAGUCCUCGUAGAAAAUCAAUUGGCCGGUACCCCAGGUCGCUGUCCAAGAGCCCAAAGAGAUCCCCAGUCACAAGAUACUCCAGGUCAUCGUUCAUCGUUCGUUGAAUCUUGAGAUUGAAUCAUAAAUAAGCGCAUCAGUUAUUAAUGAUAUUUUAAAGCUAGUGUGUCUUCCUGAUAAUAAUAAUAUAAUAUAAAUAAUUAUUUAUAAUUUAUAAUUUAUUUUGGUAGUUAAAGCAAUUUAUCAUAGCGUUAAUUAGAUUGUAGAUUUUUAUUUAAAUUCAGAAUCCCAACACAUGAUGUCUCAUUUGCAUUAGAGUGGGCAGUCUAGGAUCAUCAAUAGUUGAAUUAAUAAUAUUAAAUAAAAAAAUGAAUUUAUUAUUUAUUUAUUUUGAAUAAUAAAAUAAUAAAAAAUAAAAAAAAUAAAAUUUAUGCAAAUAGUGGCACGGAGUAUGAAUACGUUGAUUGUUAUAAUGGUAAAACUGACCGUUACAGAUUCUACCAGUGUCAACUCCUAGUUCUACUCGUCUCCCCGCCACUACUACUACUACUUCUACUACAGCCACCGUGAACAAUAAAGCCUAUCAAUCGAAACAGAACUUAAAAAUAAAAAAACUAAACAAAUGAGUUUAAGUAAAAGCUAAACAAAAAAAAUCUAAUAGAAUAAAUAAAAAAUAGCCUGCCUGCCCACUAACUUCCCACCAGUCACCAUCAGCCACCAACCAAGCCACCGAUAGCAGCCAGUCGUCCGUCAGAUCAGUCAGUCAGUCAGUCAGACAGUCCGUUGCUGUCCGUCAGAGUACGUCAAUUACCCUUCAAUAAGCCAACUUCGGGCUACCGCAACUCUUCUAAGUCGUCUAGGAGCAUCGUUAUCCAUCAAUCAGUCAAUCAAUCAGACAAGCCAACGCGAUAUGAAUGCUAAGAUCAAAAUAUUCAGCGCGUAUCGUCCCAACUUCUACUACUACUACUACUAUUACUGCUACCGUCAACCGCAGCAUUUUAUUAGCUGAAUAACAAACAAUAUAUCUAUAUCACUGCGACCGCAUCCAAACGUCGGCGAUCGAGCAAUGCAAUAAUGAUCACCUACACAACCAUCCUAAAUUUUCACCCAACCAAGUACCACCAACCAUCACCACCAACCACCAAUACUACUACUACUACCACCACUACCACAUGCUCACAGUUGUUUUGGGUCACGGUCCCGCAGUCCUCGCAGAAGAUCUUUGACACGCAGUCGUAGCCGAGACCGUCGUUCCCGCUCGGAGUCUCGCGACAGACGGUACUAAUAAAUAUAAUAAAUAUCGAUGAUAAUCAAUGAUUUAAUAUUCAAGGUCAUUUUUAUUAUUAUUGAUUAUUCAAUUACAGUUAAGUGCUAUCAUCGAUCAAUAAUAAAGGACGGAUUAAAAUUGCAAUUAUCAAUUAAAUUAAUUGAUUAAUUAAUUAUUAUAUAUAAUACGCUCACGUUUGUGUAUUUAAGCUCACUACGUAUCACAUUAAUUAUAAAUAACAAAAACAAUAAUUACGAUAUUAAAACUGUGUGUUAAUAAUUACGAUUUUAUUAUACAAGGUACAGCGAUUUUUCCAUAUGUUUAAAAUCAGUAGCUUCGAUUAGAUUUGUACAUUUUUUUUUUUUUACGUAUUUGUGAGCUUAUUUUUUUAUUGCCGUAGGGUCUGACUAAAUAAUUAUACAUAAUUUGGCUUUACUUUUACGCGGACAGAGAAAUUAUUUUUCUUCUUUCAUAACAGUUGAUCAGUCUUAUAUUGUGGUAUUAACUUGUAUUAUUUUGUAUUCUAUCAGUUAAGGAUAUUCCAAUAAAAAAUUGCUUAUAUGUA